rnacentral:rRNA from 1 species
UAGGGAAUCUUCGGCAAUGGACGAAAGUCUGACCGAGCAACGCCGCGUGAGUGAAGAAGGUUUUCGGAUCGUAAAACUCUGUUGUUAGAGAAGAACAAGGACGUUAGUAACUGAACGUCCCCUUACGGUAUCUAACCAGAAAGCCACGGCUAACUACCUGCCAGCAGCCGCGGUAAUCCGUAGGUGGCAAGCUUUGUCCGGAUUUAUUGGGCGUAAAGCGAGCGCAGGCGGUUUCUUAAGUCUGAUGUGAAAGCACCCGGCUCAACCGGGGAGGGUCAUUGGAAACUGGGAGACGUGAGUGCAGAAGAGGAGAGUGGAAUUCCAGGUGUAGCGGUGAAAUGCGUAGAUAUAUGGAGGAACACCAGUGGAGAAGGCGGCUCUCUGGUCUGUAACUGACGCGGAGGCUCGAAAGCGUGGGGAGCAAACAGG